AAGUCGUAACAAGGUCUCCGUAGGUGAACCUGCGGAGGGAUCAUUAAAAAAAGAGUUGCAAGACUCGAAAACCAUCGUGAACAUACCUCUCGUCGUUGCUUCGGCGGGCUGCUCGUCAGGGCGCCCGCCGGAGGACCACCAAACUCUGUUUUCUUAGCGUAUCUCUGAGUGGACUACAAAAAUGAAUCAAAA
rnacentral:misc_RNA from 1 species